GAAGAAAGAGGUCAGUUUGGUACACGCCAGUUGUCGGGAGAGAAAACCCCAUCUAAAAGGAUGACCUGCUGAAAAAGAGGGGGAAGCUGCCCCCAACACCCAAGCUUCGCGCCAGACAACGUUCUCAGUCCACUCCAGUCCGUGACCUAGGACAGAUGUCGAAGCCACCCUGCCUAUAGGCCUACAAAAGGGGCUAAAUGGCGCCCCCGACCUCAGACAAAGCUAACGCCUUAUUCUUCAAAGGUCCACUACAUAAGGCAUCCAGAUUUUUGCUGAGUCACGUGUCAUGUCUCCUCGCACGCAAGAGCUUCCUUACAGCAAGAUACCUAUUAUCAAUUUUGGAAACCAGCAUUGAAUUAGAUUUGAUGGUGGCCAGUUUUUCGAUAUUGUGAGAGAUAGGAGCGAUCCAGACAUUAUGCAGCGCUCUGCCCCACGUGGCUCUAUGCCGUGCCUUUAUCCCA